rnacentral:lncRNA from 1 species
CUUUCAUGUGAAGUGAAAUGGCUGUAGCCUAAUGUCCUUCUGAAAUCAAGAGACACAUCUUCACUUUCCAGACUGGGACCAGACUUUUGUGCCACGUUGUGACAUGCACACAUGCACACACAGGAAAGGACUUGGCUUGUGCCCACAUGCCUUUCUUCAGGGACAAGUGGGAAUGGACAUAAGGAGCGUCUCAUCCUUACGUGGCCUCCUUUGUCUUCCUCCUUCCUGGCCAAGACGGUGAUUUACUGCCCAAAGACAAGUCCAUCUGAAGCAAGAACUGACUAUCGAGGACUCUGUAGUGACUGAUAAACUGGGAAGAGAAAAUUGGACCAGAGACUUCAAGGCAGCUCUCAGACAAGAAUAUUCCAGUGCCAGAGAGAAAGACAUUAAAAAUGAAGAGACAUGCAGAGAGUGCACCAUGCCAUCGUGGAGACAGACUGAAGUGACACAACUGUUAGUCAAAGAGGAUUAAGGACUUCCAGAAGCCACCAAAGGAAGGAGACAUUGGUUCUACUCAAGUCAAGGCAAGUCAUCUGACCUUCACCAAGAAAGUCCAGCAUCCAGGAAAGGAAAUUGUAUGUUUGGAUAUGUGAAGAAGCAGAACUGUCUAGAGACUUGCUCAAGUGGAAGUCACCUCUCACACCUGCCCUAUGCAGUCAGGCCUUCUGUGCACACAAUCAAUUGCCUGGAUUAAUGUCACAGGAAAUCCACUCUGUGUGUAUUUUUCUUUGUGUCAUAUUUCUGCAUUGUAACCUGAAGCUCCAGAAAUGUUUCCUGUAAGGACAGCAGACUCCACCUUCUGGGGCCAGACAGCUAGCACAAAUUUUUCUCAUUCUUGACUCUGGAUAAUCCAGUCCUAUUCCACCAGCACUACCCUCCACCCAGUACCGUGGCCACAUUGUGAAUAUACAUGGUCAUUUACUGUUAGUGUCAAGAGAGCGAGUCUACACUGGGGUCGAGUAAUUUGGUCCCGUGUAAGAGUUCAUUAAGUUGGCAGGGAAAGAAUGGCUUAGUCACUCUGAUUGCUUUAGAAUUACUGGAGUUUCACAAGUGGAAGAGGGGUGUGUGUGUGUGUGUGUGUGUGUGUGUGUGUGUCCAGACAAAUUUCUCAAACAACCUCAUUUAAUAAGAAGAAUAAAUCUUUUAAAAGACUUUUCAA